GACGAACGCUGGCGGCGUGCUUAACACAUGCAAGUCGAACGGUGAAGCGCCUUCCUUUUUGGUGGGUGUGGAUGAGUGGCGAACGGGUGAGUAACACGUGAGUAACCUGCCCCCUUCUUCUGGAUAACCGCAUGAAAGUGUGGCUAAUACGGGAUAUUCUGGGUCUGUCGCAUGAUGGGUCUGGGAAAGAUAUUGUUUCGGUGGGGGAUGGGCUCGCGGCCUAUCAGCUUGUUGGUGGGGUGAUGGCCUACCAAGGCGGUGACGGGUAGCCGGCCUGAGAGGGUGGACGGUCACACUGGGACUGAGACACGGCCCAGACUCCUACGGGAGGCAGCAGUGGGGAAUAUGGCACAAUGGGCGCAAGCCUGAUGCAGCGACGCCGCGUGAGGGAUGGAGGCCUUCGGGUUGUGAACCUCUUUCGCCAGUGAAGCAGGCCUGCCUUGUUUGUGGGUGGGUUGACGGUAGCUGGAUAAGAAGCGCCGGCUAACUACGUG
rnacentral:rRNA from 1 species